UAGCUCUCGGAGUAACGAGUGGCGCACGGGUGCGUAACACGUAUGCAACCUACCCUUUAGAGGAGGAUAGUCAUUGGAAACGAUGAAUAAUACCCCAUGUUAUUAUAAGAUCGCAUGGUCUAAUAAUCAAAGCUCCGGCGCUAAAGGAUGGGCAUGCGUCCCAUUAGCUAGUUGGUAAAGUAACGGUUUACCAAGGCAACGAUGGGUAGCUGGUCUGAGAGGAUGAUCAGCCACACGGGCACUGAGACACGGGCCCGACUCCUACGGGAGGCAGCAGUAAGGAAUAUUGGUCAAUGGGGGCAACCCUGAACCAGCCAUGCCGCGUGCAGGACGACGGCCCUCUGGGUUGUAAACUGCUUUUAUCUGGGAAUAAUUCGCUUCUAUACGAAGUUUUGUAGGUACCAGAAGAAUAAGCACCGGCUAACUACGUGCCAGCAGCCGCGGUAAUACGUAGGGUGCAAGCGUUGUCCGGAUUUAUUGGGUUUAAAGGGUGCGCAGGCGGCUUUUUAAGUUAGUGGUGAAAGCGUCCAGCUUAACUGGAUACCCGCCAUUGAUACUGGGAAGCUUGAGUCCGUCUGAGGAGAUUAGAAUGCGUGGUGUAGCGGUGAAAUGCAUAGAUAUCACGCAGAAUACCGAUUGCGAAGGCAGGUCUCUAAGGCGGAACUGACGCUGAGGCACGAAAGCGUGGGUAGCGAACAGGAUUAGAUACCCUGGUAGUCCACGCUGUAAACGAUGAUCACUAGAUGUUCGGCAGCAAUGCUGAGUGUCCAAGCGAAAGCGAUAAGUGAUCCACCUGGGGAGUACGUUCGCAAGAAUGAAACUCAAAGGAAUUGACGGGGGCCCGCACAAGCGGUGGAGCAUGUGGUUUAAUUCGAUGAUACGCGAGGAACCUUACCUGGGCUACAAUGCCUCUGACAGACGCCGAAAGGUGUUUUUCCUUCGGGACAGAGUGCAAGUGCUGCAUGGUUGUCGUCAGCUCGUGC
rnacentral:rRNA from 1 species